rnacentral:rRNA from 1 species
AAAGUUGAAAAGUACUUUGAAGAGAGAGUAAACAGUGCGUGAAACCGCUCAGAGGUAAACGGGUGGAGUUGAACUGUAAGCUCCGGGGAUUCAGCUGGUGAGUGUGUCAUGGGCUUGGUCAUUUUGGCCGGCCUCUAGAGUCCGCUUAGCUGCGGGUCCUUGCUUUUCGGAAGUAGGGGUGCGCGUUGCACUUGUCAAGUGUUGUGCGCUCUAGGGGUUGCCGGGCUGGCUCGCCGGUGCACUUUCUCGGAGUGGUCACCACGACCGGCGUUGUUGUCUUGCUGCUGCGGUCGAACCGGUCAGGUCUGGUCCUUGUGGCUGAACUUGAUCGGGAUGGCAGGUAGCUCAUUGGUUGGCUUGUCCAGUCUUUGGGUGUAAUCAGCUGGCUGCAGUGGUAUUGUGCAAUGCGUCGGAGACAGCGGCUCGAGGUAUGUGCUUGUGUGCCGUAGGCGGCAGUGUCGGGUUUGACUGGCGUGUUACCUGCUUCGGUAGGUCCGUUGGUAGCCCGAUGCUGUUCGGCUUGCGGUUGCAUUUGUGAUACCGCCCAUGGGCCUAUAGUCUGUGGUGUAGCAGCAAACGAUCCACCUGACCCGUCUUG